GCUGGGUGUGGUGGCACAUACCUGUAGUCCUAGCUACUCGAGAGGCUGAAGCAGGAUUGCUUGAACCCAGGAAUUCUGGGCUGUAGUGUGUUAUGUCAAUUGGGUGUCCACACUAAGUUUGACAUCCGUAUGGUGACCUCUUGAAAGCAGGCAACAGCAGGUUACCUAAGGAGGGGUAAACCGGCCCAGCUCAGAAACCAAGCAGUUAAAAACUCUCAUGCUGAUCAGCAGCAGGAUAGCAUCUGUGAAUAGGCACCGCACUCCAGCCUGGGCAAUAUAGUGAAACC
rnacentral:SRP_RNA from 10 species